rnacentral:lncRNA from 1 species
UUUUAUAAGUCUUCGCAUUAUUAACACUUGUAUCCGUUCCACCGGCCGAUGGCCACCCACUUUCCGAAACAACAAUGUCCAAACUUCCCCCACCAGCCCUCUCCAAGGCAGCGUAAAAUGCAUCCAACAUCGCGUCGAAAAGGUUCUGGUACAGAUAUGGACCAUCUGUCACAACGACAGACGGUGCCGUAAAGAGAGCAUAGUCAACAUCUCUUGGAUUUUCCAUGUGGCUAAAGUAGGGAUAUGUGCAUUAACAAGUAAUGGAGCUCCGUUGUUCCUCAAGAAGGUUAUGACUCGACCGAGAAGUUGUUGGUAAUCGCCACGAAGUUUGCCUUGCGACGGAGGGUAAGAUACCUCCAUAGCACCGAAAAACGUAGCCGUAGAAACUUUGAUUUGGUUCCCUAAGCCUGCUUUAACUAUUGCUUUAUGAACGUUCUGCAUUGCUGGGAAAAGGAACCGAGCAAAUGGAUCCUGUGGCUUUACUUCGUUCCCAAUAGUAGCGACGUAUCGAAAAUUAACAGUGCUGUAUCGCCUGAUGUUAUCUUGAACCCAUCGAUCAGCAUUGGCUUGACUAGCUGCAAGGUAUUCGAGUCUCGGAUUCGAAACAUCUAAUAGCAGCUUGAUGUUGGUACUUGGUACCUCCGAGGGCUCGUAGGGCAGUUUUAUCGGGAGCAUAGAGUUUGUUGGAUGCCUUUACUUUUGUAAAUGUCGAUUACUUCGGCAGCUGGUGGCAAGUUAUUUCCCAUCAUUCCAUAACAAACUCCAACUUGGGCAUCUGCAUGAUGUUAAUUCCACAAUGCCUUAAUUUUAAAAUCAAAUGUUUUACCCUUUGAAUAGCUUCGGAAAUUGGAGAUGAAAUUCAAAACUGAGGAUUUGUGUUUUAUUACUUUAUUUGUGUACACAUGAAACUUUAAUUAUUAAUGAUUACUGAUUAUUAAAAGUUUCGUUAAAUUAAUCUAAUUUCAUAAAUUUUAAAAUUAUAUAUAAACUUUGAUUUGGUCCAAUUAUACACAUAAAACUUUAAUUGUAAUUCAAACAUAUACACAAAAUUAUCAUUUAGGCCUUUUAAUUUUUUUAAAAUUUUAAAUUAGUAAAGGUAAAAUUUUACUUUGACCCCCUAAAAUUAUAAAAAUUUGAUUUAAUCCUUUAAAAAUUAUACAAAUAUAUACUAUAAAAAAUUAAAAUUUCAUAAAAAAAUUAUUCUGACUUCGCCCUUGCAUAUACAUAAGACUUUUAUUUUGAUUAAAUUAUAUACCUUUCAAGAAAUAAAUACAUUAAAUAAUUUCUAUAUUGGAUAAAUAUAAUAAUUUCUAUAUGCAAUAUAUAAACAUAAAAUGAUGCUAUAUUAAUUAAUAAUUUGUAAAAAUUAUAUUAAAUCAAAAUAAAAUUUAUCUAUAACUUUGAAAUUUAUCUCUUGAAAAUAAAAUGAUGAAAUUACAUCUUAACUCGCAAAAAUAUAAUUUAAUUCUGCUAGAAGAAAUUUUAGCAUCACCCUAUUUGAAUUCAAAUAUUUGAGAUGACAUUAUUAGGAUAGGCAAUAAUAAAGAGCAAAAAAUUAAUCUUUAUAAACCAUAAAACAAAUAUAGAAAUGAGGAGUUAAGCAAUCAUAAUUACCGACAAAAAGAUGAAACCAAUGUUGAUUUUUUAAAAAUAAAAUAUUCUCUCAAAAAUUUAUAAUUUUAUUUUAUCCCAAAAAUAUUUUUUAGUUUUACGUCUGUAUAUAGAGGUAUAAAUAAUUCAUAAAGAAACACAAAAGAGACCUGUGGUUUUGAAGAUAGCCAUUAGCAACGCACAAAGAAGAAGCAGCAUAGUUGAAUGCAUGAUGGCAUUGGCCAUUGGCUAAUAAAAGAUUUUACUAUUCUGGAAGUGCUGCGAUGCCUCUAACGCCAACUCUCACCACCCUUUUAUACAAAAAUUAUUGUCUGUGGUUACUUCCUGGAAAAUUAGGGUACAUAAAUUAAAACUCUUACCACCAUUAAUUGAAGCCUAACUUUGCAAUUUGUUUACUGGCAGUUUGCGAGUGCCCUGCCCCCUCCUAUACUUCAAAGAAAAGUCUUUGGGUCAUCAUCUCCAUUUCUUUUUUAUUAUUAAUAAUAUUACUCCGUGAUGGACGCUGAGAGAAAAAUGAGUGAUUGGUAAGUAAACUUAUUAGAGGCUUGUAGUUACGUUGGUCCAUGUUUGAAUGGAAGACAUAAGAAAUACUUGUCGCAUGUAGCUGAAGGGCAUAUUUUUAUUAUAUCAGUCUUUAUCUUCAAAGACCCAUUGAAUAAGGGUGAGUUUGGGGUUUGGAUAGACGAUUGGGUGCAGUGCGGUGCGUUUAGCUUACUUUUUGUUUCACACUACAAUAUCGCUAUAGUAUUUAAUCUCCUCGCCAUCACUGUUUUUACACUAACCAUAGACAAACGCACCGCCCAUCCAAACUUACCCUAAGUAAGUCGGAUGGAAAUCCUUCAGUUUACUAAAAUUACUAUAUAUAUAUUAAUACCAAAGUCUUUUUUACACACAUAAAUUAUGAAUCAAUCAAUUAUAAUAGUAUUUGUAAAUGUAUUUUUUUUAAAUAUACGGUUUAUAAAAAAAAUAAAAGGUUUAAUUUAGUGCUAGUACUUUAAAAAUAUCCAAUGUGAUACUUGAACUAUAAAUUUAUGUAUUAUUUAAUACUUAUAUUUUCAUAAAAUGUCUAACCUGAUACUUAAACUAUCAUCCUAUAUAUUAUUAUGGUAUUUUUAUAACUAUGAGAAACCCAUUUUAUUUCACUCGCAAAGAGCUGAGCUCUGGAAUUACAAUAAUCAGACCACAUUUAUUGCCUCUACCUUGGCUUUCAUAAGAAAAUGGCCUUACCCCUUUUAAUUGAAACUAAUUGGGUAUUUCUCCUGUUUGUUUGGGAAAAACAGCCCCCAAUGUUUCUCAUAUGCCGGUUCUUUAUUAUUCUCAUCAAACAUCGCAAACAAGUAAACUUCUAUUGCUUUUCCAGGUUUCCUCGGAGUCCCCUUGCGCUGAUUCACAUGUCGAACCAAAUUCGUAUUGUAAGUCCUCGCAUUAUUAACACUGGUAGCCGUUCCACCGGCCGACGGCCACCCACUUUCCGAAACAACAAUGUCCAAACUUCCCCCACCAGCCCUCUCCAAGGCAGCGUAAAAUGCAUCCAACAUCGCGUCGAAAAGGUUCUGGUACCGAUAUGGACCAUCUGUCACAACGACAGAUGGUGCCGUAAAGAGAGCAUAGUCUAGACGAACAUCUCUUGGAUUUUCCAUGUGGCUAAAGUAGGGAUAUAUAUUAACAAGUAAUGGAGCUCUGUUGUUCCUCAAGAAGUUUAUGACUGGACCGAGAAGUUGUUGGUAAUCGCCACGAAGUUUGCCUUGAGACGGAGGGAAAGAUACUUCCAUAGCACCGAAAAACGUAGCCGUAGAAACUUUGAUUCGGUUCCCUAAGCCUGCGUUAACUAUUGCUUUAUGAACGUUCUGCAUUGCUGGGAAAAGGAACCGAGCAAAUGGAUCCCAUGGCUUUACUUCGUUCCCGACAGCGAUGUAUCGAAAAUUAACGUUGCUGAAUCGCCUGACGUUAUCUUGAACCCAUCGAUCAGCAUUGGCUUGACUAGCUGCAAGGAAUUCGAGUCUAGGAUUCGAAACAUCUAAUAGCAGCUUGAUGUUGGUACCUGCGAGGGAUAGUAGGGCAGCUUCGUUGGGAGCGUAGAGUCGCGAUUGUUGGAUGCCUUUUCUUCUGUAAAUAUCGAUUACUUCGGAUGGUGGCGGCAAGUUAUUUCCCAUCAUUCCAUAACAAACACCAACUUGGGCAUCUGCAUGACAUUAGUUCCACAAUGCCUUAAUUUUAAAAUCAAACAUUUUACACUUUGAAUAGCUUUUCGGAUUGGACUCUAAAAACUCAAAACUGAGUUCAAUAGAAUAUUUUAACGUAAAUCUUUUAUCACUUUGCUCGUGGUUCACUCCAUACUCACAAAGUCACAAUAUCGAUUACAGAAAGUAUCUGCUAGGAGUUUAGGGGACAACGAUUUACUCCUACCAAUGGUGCGUGAGAUAUAAAAAAAAAUACAGAUUUUCAAUUUUUAAAAUUCAUAAAAAUAUUUGUCUUGUUGUCUGGUGAUUAGUGAUUUUUAAAAGUUUCCCCAAAUUAAUCUAAUUUCAUAAAAUUUAAAAUUAUAUAUAAACUUUCAUUUGAUGCAAUUAUAUAAAUGAAAAUUUGAUUAUGGUUGAAAUAUAUACAUGAAUCCAUGCCCUACACUGAAACCUUUCGAAAUUAUAAAAUUUUAAUUUAAUUUUUAAAAAAUUAUAAAAAUAUGAGCUAUUAAAAUGAUGAAAUUAUAUUUUUAUUCUUAUAAAAAAUUAUAAUUGAAUUCCGCCCCAAACAUCUAACUUCACCCUAUUCGAAUUCGAAUAUUUGAAGUUACAUUGUUAAAAGAAAUAAUUACAAACAACAAAAAUAUUAACCUUUAUAAACCAUAAGUCGGAUAUAGAAGGGAAAACUCCAACAUUUAUAAAUACCGAAAAAAGACGAAUAUAGAAAAUAUGUCAGUUACGCCAAAAAAAUACACAUAUGACAGAUGUUGAUGUUUUUAGAAAAACGAAAUAUUCUCCCAAAAUUUAUAAUUUUAUUUUACCUCCAAAAAUAGUUUCUAGUUAUGGGUCUGUAUAAAUGAUUCACUAAGAAACAUAAAGAGUGUAAAGAACGAAAGGGAGACCUGCGGUUUUGAAGAUAGCCAACAGCAACCCAGAAAGCAGAAGAAGCAUAGUUGAAUGCAUGAUGGCAUUGGCCAUUGGCUGAUAAAAGAUUUUAUUAUUCUGGAAGUGCUGUGAUGCCUCUAACACCAACUCUCACCGCCCUUUUUUAUACAGAAAUUACAGCCCAGGAUGGUGUUCGCUGGCAGGUCUAGUAUUCCUAUGAAAAUUAAGGUACAUGAAUUAAAACUCUUAUCACCAUUAAUUCAAGCCUAACUUUGCCAUUUGUUUAUUGGCAGUUUUUGAGUGCCAUGCCCACUCGUAUAGUACUCCACUGAAAAGUCUUUGGUUCAUCAUCUCCUUUUCUUAUUUAUUUAUAUAUAUAUUGAAUACGAAAUUAAUAUCAAUGGAAGACUUUGAUAUAACUCAUUAAUUCUCUACUCAAACUUCGUUUUUAGUUAACCAUUUUCUAGUGUCAUUAGGGAUAAUGUCAAAUUUAGCUCUUAAUAUUUAUAUCUUUUAUUAAUUUAAUCAUUAUUUUUAAUUAAAUUUAACUCUUAAUCUUUUGAAAAUAGUCAAAUUUAAAAAGAGUCGAAUUAAUUUUUAAUAGAAAUAUAGAUUAAAAUGUUAAAUUUUGAAUUUUUUUUAAAAUAAUAAUGAUUAAAUUUAAAUAAAAGGAUUAAAUUGAUAAAAAUAUAAAUAUUUAAAAUUAAAUUUAUUAUUAUACCCGUAAUUAAUAAUAUGACUCCGUUAUGGACGCGUUGAAAAUGUUGAGUCACGAGUCGAAUAAUGGCAUUUUAUUAGAGUCUUUAGGUCGGUCCAUGUUUGAAUGGAAGAUAUUUUUUUAAGAUAAGAAAUACUUGCCGCAUGUUUGUUGACUAAUAGUAAUAAUAGUGAUGGUAAAUAUAUUUUUAAAAAAUAUAAAAUUUAUGAAAAGAAAAUAAUGUCAAAUUACAUUUUCACCUGUACUUUUAUAAAAUAUUUAAUGUGUUACCUAUACUUUAAAGAUGUAUAAUGUGAUGUCUAAACUAUUAAAAUUUAAUUCAGAAAGUAGUCGGAUAUAUAAUAGCCGAAACCAUUUUAUUUAACUUAGAAGUGAGCAGAACGCAUCCAAUUAUAUAAAAUUACAGUAGACAUCCACGUUUAUUUGCCUCUAUAUAUGGCCUAUGCUGCCUUCUUUAGAGGCGAUGACAAUGGUAAACUUUAGUAUACCCGAGACUGAGAGAAAUGGCUUUACCGGUUUUAAUUGAAACUAAUGGAGUAUUUCUCCUGUUUAUUUGGGAAAAACAACCCCCAAUGUUUCUCAAAUGCCGGUUCUUUUUCAUUCUCAUCAAACAUCGCAAACAGGUAAGCUACUAUAGCUUUUUCGGGUUUCUUCGGAGUCCCCUUACCCUGGUUCACAUGUUGAACCAAUUUCGUGUUGUAAGUCAUUGCGUUAUCGACACUCGUGGCCUGUCCACCGUCUGAUGGCCAACCAGUUUCCGAAACAACAAUGUCCA